rnacentral:tRNA from 1 species
GUCCCAGUAGCGCAAUGAAUAAUGCGUUGGACUUUUAAUCCAAAGGACGUGGGUUCGAAUCCCACUUGGGAUG